GAUGAACGCUAGCGGCAGGCUUAAUACAUGCAAGUCGUGGGGCAGCAGGAAGUAGCAAUACUUUGCUGGCGACCGGCAAACGGGUGCGUAACACGUACGCAACUUUCCCUUUACUGGAAGAUAGCCCACCGAAAGGUGGAUUAAUACUCCAUACUAUAAUGAAACGGCAUCGUUUUAUUAUCAAAGCUCAGGCGGAAAAGGAUGGGCGUGCGGCUGAUUAGAUAGUUGGCGGGGUAACGGCCCACCAAGUCUACGAUCAGUAGCUGAUGUGAGAGCAUGAUCAGCCACACGGGCACUGAGACACGGGCCCGACUCCUACGGGAGGCAGCAGUAAGGAAUAUUGGUCAAUGGACGCAAGUCUGAACCAGCCAUGCCGCGUGAAGGAUGAAGGUCCUCUGGAUUGUAAACUUCUUUUAUAUGGGACGAAACACUUUCUUUCUAGAGAGCUUGACGGUACCAUAGGAAUAAGCACCGGCUAACUCCGUGCCAGCAGCCGCCGCAGUAA
rnacentral:rRNA from 1 species